CAAAGGAUAAGAAUCUGCAGGAACUUUCUGGCCUAGUUUAGGAAAGCGAGGGGAUGUCCAUGGAUCUUCACUGCAUCACACAGGAUGAAGAGCUGAGCCUCUCAGAGGAGGGCAAUUAUCCAAUAGGGAAAACUGCACCUGGAGCAGAAGCAAUCAUCUCUUCAAAUUAAUUCUCCCCUCAAGCCUUGGGAGCCAUGCUGUAGACCCAGAAUCAAGACAAGGAUCAAGAAGUUCCAGGCCAGCCUAGACUACAGAGCAAGUUCCAGGACAACCAGGGCUACACAGAGAAACCCUGUCUUGAGAAGAAAAAAAAAAAAACUCCAAAAAGAAGAAGAAGAAGAGAGUUGGCAGAAAGAUGUCUUUCCCAAUGAAAAUGGUGUUUUAAUGGUAUUUUAAGUCAAAACUUUUAUUCUUUUAACUUAUUGCUACUAAGUUAUAUUUCACAUGCUUGCUGUGUGUCUACAAGGAGAAGAAAGAAGUAAAACAGGUAGAGAGUCUUAGCUCAGGCAUCCUGUGCUGGUCCAAUGUUAGUCUGGGUAGUUUCAGCCCUAGAUCUGGCAAGGCUGGCCCAUCCCCCACAGCUGUUUACCCGGAAUUUGGUCAUUACCAGCUGACUCAGGGCUCCUUUCCCCUGGACAUUCCCAGAGACUUUGGGGCCAGGAGUGCUCUGUCCAGUGCAAAGGGUAAAGACAAAGUAAUAUUUAACAGCUGGUUCUUAACCUUGCACAGAGCAAGAAUAUAGGGUUAAACUCAUCUGUUUAGACCCAAGAAAUCCCAUCAUGAGGGAGGAAGGCAACAGGGUUCUGUCAUUCAAAUCUCAGGGUCCCAAAGGACAAGGAGACAGGAAAGAAGGAAGCAAAGAGCUUUUAAGACUUCAGAGGAAGAAAAAGUACAGAAGCAGUUGUCCCCGUGUCCACCAUGUCCUCUCUGAGGAAGGAAGGCAUUGUCUACUGUGUCUCAGGACUCUCUUGGAGGCAAGAGACUAGUAUGGGACAUUAAAGGGAUCAUUGCUGACAAUGUCCCCAGAAAAGUCAUGUCUUGCCGUCUGACCCAGAAACAGGAUGGCUAA